UCCCUGUAUUUGAUUUGCAAAUAGUAUAAAGACAACAUAUCAAAUGUUUAAGUGAGUAUGUGAGGGUUGGCUUCUGCUUCCUUCUUGGUUGUCUUUCCAUUCCGGUCCCAGUUCUGGUUUAGUUUUUUCCUUAUGCAUCUCCUUUGUGUCUCCUGUAUUAGCCCCACCUACUCCUGGCACACCUGCUCCUCAUCAGCAACCUAUUAAGUUUAGUCGUCAGUCCCUGUUUCCUUGUGAGGUGUGGUUUGUUGUUGUGACAUGUAAAGUCUGUUAUUCAUUUUGUUCUUUUUUCUCUCUCAGUCUUCCCGUACAUGACCUGCAUAUUCCUGAUUCCUGUUCCGAUUACGGAUUUGCCCCUUGGUCCUGUUGUUUCUGGAACCUGCUAUCAACCCCGAACCGGCUGUCAUCAUCCAUCUGCCUAACCCUCCUGCGCUUCUGCCCUGGCCGUUGUUCUCGUGUACGAACCUCGCCUGUCUUCUGACAACCGACCUGCCUUGUCCCCAGAGGCGUCGCUAGGAUCACAAUACAUUCGAGGAUUAGAAAAUAAUAAUAAUUGUUAUUUUCUUUGGUCAAUUGGAGACCCGAGGCUAUUCAUAAGAGAUCCAGGGCUAUAGCCCCGGACGCCCAGGCCUAACGACGCCACUGCUUGUCCCUGUUGUGCCUUUGGGUGCCGUUGGAUUAAACGCUGUAUUUUGGGGCCAUUAUCAGUUGCAAGGCUUCGCUAUUCUGAAUGCAUGACUUUGAUAAAGCCAAUGGGACUGAGCGGGGAGGGGCAUCCAGGCAGUCAAAACCCUGAGCAGAGGCGGGACGGUAGUGGGGUAUAUUUUCACAUAAACCUCUGCUGGACUCCACCGCUUCAUCUGAAUUCCUCAAUGUACUAAUCAUAACUUAAUGUGACAGAGGAAGGGGUUACAGUACUGGUAGAGUGGGCAAUUAAUUAAUGCAACAUGGGGUUUAAAAUGUGACUGUGUUGGUUUGAUUUCUUUGGUGGGUGUCAAAUUGCAAUCAUAGUGUGUGAUCAAUGCUGUUGGUGGCGCUGUUUCUUUUCCUGGGCAGUGGAGAACGCAAUGUUCGGUGAGCAUUUUUCAGGAUUUUUCCCAAGCAGAGGUUUUGGAAAAUGUUUUGUGUUUUAAGAUAUUUCAAUUUGUGACUGGAAAUCAAGGCUUUCUUAUGCAUUUGCGGCUUUUGUCAAAUUGGGCCAAAAAACUGUUCAUUCUCUCGAGGCUUUUGAACUCACUGCACAGUGGUGACAGUUGCUGGUCAGGAAUAAAUGUCACAUGUGAAAAGUUUAUAAAGAUGCCCUUUUUCCAUAAUAUUUGACCAGAAUUCAUUGCGCAGUGGUUAGGCGAGCGCAUUGCAAAGGGGAAUUAAAAAGGUUUGCAUACAUAUUCUUCAUGCCUUUUCAGUUAGGUUUUUCAAACUGCGCAUCCAUACAAAUGUUUUGGCUUAUAAAGGCAAAAGUGUCAUAAGAUACAUGAAAUGAAACACAUUAAUUGAAUGAUAAUAAACAGAAA
ensembl:lncRNA